rnacentral:rRNA from 1 species
UAAAUUGCUGUGGUAUUAUGACUAUACGAAGGUAUUGAAAUAAGGCUUUAAAUGGGUGCUAAGAGAAUGGUUUAACAAGGAUUGACUUUUUUCUUCUUUUUAUUAAAAUUUGGUAAAAAAAUGAGGAAAUUUUUAUGAAAAUUUGGGACAAGAAGACCCUAUGAAUUUUUUAUGAAGAAAUUGUUAGAUAAAGUUUAUUAUUUUUUGUAAUUUUUUUUUAGUUGGUUGGGGUGACUUUUAAAGAACAUUUAUCUUUAAAAUAGUUGUAAUUUGAUCCAAUAAUAUUGAUUAUUUAAAUUAAAUACUCUAGGGAUAACAGCGUUAUUACUUUGGAUAGUUCAUAUAGAUAAAGUAGAUUGCGACCUCGAUGUUGGAUUAAGAUACUUUUAUGAUGUAGAAGUUGUAAAAAGAAGUUUGUUCAACUUU